AACGAACGCUGGCGGCAGGCCUAACACAUGCAAGUCGAGCGGACCCUUCGGGGUUAGCGGCGGACGGGUGAGUAACGCGUGGGAAUAUGCCCUUCUCUACGGAAUAGUCCCGGGAAACUGGGGGUAAUACCGUAUACGCCCUUUGGGGGAAAGAUUUAUCGGGGAAGGAUUAGCCCGCGUUGGAUUAGGUAGUUGGUGGGGUAAUGGCCUACCAAGCCGACGAUCCAUAGCUGGUUUGAGAGGAUGAUCAGCCACACUGGGACUGAGACACGGCCCAGACUCCUACGGGAGGCAGCAGUGGGGAAUCUUAGACAAUGGGGGCAACCCUGAUCUAGCCAUGCCGCGUGAGUGAUGAAGGCCUUAGGGUUGUAAAGCUCUUUCAGCUGGGAAGAUAAUGACGGUACCAGCAGAAGAAGCCCCGGCUAACUCCGUG
rnacentral:rRNA from 1 species